rnacentral:rRNA from 1 species
UAUCUCUGUAGAGUCUGCAUAUCAAUAAGCGGAGGAAAAGAAACUAACAAGGAUUCCCCUAGUAACGGCGAGUGAAGCGGGAAGAGCUCAAAUUUGAAAUCUUAAAGGGUUUCCCUUUACGAAUUGUAGUUUAAAGAAGUGUUUUCUGUUGAGGUUUUGGUAAAAGUUCUUUGGAAUAGGACAUCAUAGAGGGUGAGAAUCCCGUAUUUGACCUUUACUUUCAACUUUGUGAUACACUUUCAAAGAGUCGGAUUGUUUGGGAAUGCAGUCCAAAAUGGGUGGUAAAUUUCAUCUAAAGCUAAAUAUUGGCGAGAGACCGAUAGCGAACAAGUACCGUGAGGGAAAGAUGAAAAGAACUUUGAAAAGAGAGUUAAACAGUACGUGAAAUUGUCAAAAGGGAAGCGUUUGACACCAGUGUUGUUUUUCUGAAAAUCAAUUAAAGAACUGUUUAUGCUAAGCUGUUUAGACUUUAUCAGCUAUCUGUUUAGUUUUGAGCUUUUCUUUAAUGCACUUUUCAGUUAACAAGUCAACAUCAAUUUCUUUUGCUGUAAAAAAGCUUGAGGAAGGCGGCUUGAGAUUCGUACUUAAGUGUUUAUAGCCUCUUGCCUAUGCAGUCGGAGAGAUUGAGGUCUGCAGCGUAGAUCCUUCGGGGCUAAAUGCAUUUGUGCUAAGUUAUAGCAUUUUAUAGACAACUUGUUGACUAUGAUUUGUCUUGUAGCUUACUCGCUUAUGUUAUUUUACCUACGCUUAGGAUGUUGACGAUCAGCUGAGCGCG